GUCAUGCUAAAAUAUAGCUAAUUUCUACUUUGUGCAUUCAGAUGGUAAACCAACUGUGGGUAUACAUACGAAGAAACAAGCUUCAGAAUCAUAUUGCUACUUUGUGAAUUUUGGUUAAGUUGUGUUGCAGAGGUUUCUAUUGCUUUGUCUUCAUUCUCGAAGCUUGAAUGAGUAAGUUAAGGGACCAACUUCAACAGAGUUCUGCUUAGGAAUGGAUGGACUGUAGGAACUGUGAUGGGCAGUCUCUCGAGCAUCAGUUGGGGCUCUGAUUCGUUUUUGGACCAUAGCACAAAGUUUGAUGAGUCGGCAUGGACAAAGGAGGUGUUCUGGAUUCCUCUCUUCAAAUAUGACAUUCCCACUCAUCAGAAUUUUCUUUACCAAUCCAUUUGCACCUAGGCCAUUAUUAACACUAAUUGUGUAAAGAAUCACCUUGUCGUUAGAUGGUUUAGGUCUCAUCAUUGAUGAUGAAGAACUGCCUUGUGAACUUGGACCUGCUAGUGUAGGAAGGCUCUGGGAGCCGGCAUUCUGGGAACUUGGCAGCCAGUGUUUCCCUAAAAAGUUUCACAGUGUUCUGGAUGAAAGUGCUCUGUUUCCUACCGAAAAACCAAUCACAUUAUCAUCCAACAAUCCAUAAGUAUAAUAAGAAUCCAUGGAAUUAUGUAGCAUAAAACAUCAAAUAAUUAAUAAAAAUUGGAAAAUAAGAUUACCCCUCUACAUGUUCUCCAAAAAUAUUGCCAACUUCUGCUUGUGCAAGGGCUUCUCUCCACUUCUCCACCUUGUCAUUGUGCCUCAUUUUAUGCUUUUCUAGUGUGAGUCCAUAAUUUCCCAGAUGGUGUUUGAUAUCACGGAUUUCAAC
rnacentral:lncRNA from 1 species